rnacentral:rRNA from 1 species
AUUGAACGCUGGCGGCAGGCCUAACACAUGCAAGUCGAACGGUAACAGGAAGAAGCUUGCUUCUUUGCUGACGAGUGGCGGACGGGUGAGUAAUGUCUGGGAAACUGCCUGAUGGAGGGGGAUAACUACUGGAAACGGUAGCUAAUACCGCAUAACGUCGCAAGACCAAAAAGGGGGACCUUCGGGCCUCUUGCCAUCGGAUGUGCCCAGAUGGGAUUAGCUAGUAGGUGGGGUAACGGCUCACCUAGGCGACGAUCCCUAGCUGGUCUCAGAGGAUGACCAGCCACACUGGAACUGAGACACGGUCCAGACUCCUACGGGAGGCAGCAGUGGGGAAUAUUGCACAAUGGGCGCAAGCCUGAUGCAGCCAUGCCGCGUGUAUGAAGAAGGCCUUCGGGUUGUAAAGUACUUUCAGCGGGGAGGAAGGGAGUAAAGUUAAUACCUUUGCUCAUUGACGUUACCCGCAGAAGAAGCACCGGCUAACUCCGUG